CGGGGCAUGGCGCAGCCUGGUAGCGCAUCUGCUUUGGGAGCAGAGGGUCGGGGGUUCGAAUCCCUCUGCCCCGACCA
rnacentral:tRNA from 1 species